rnacentral:rRNA from 1 species
AGAACGAACGCUGGCGGCAGGCCUAACACAUGCAAGUCGAGCGCUGUAGCAAUACAGAGCGGCGCACGGGUGAGUAACACGUGGGAACGUGCCCUUUGGUUCGGAAUAACUCAGGGAAACUUGAGCUAAUACCGGAUGAGCCCUAACGGGGAAAGAUUUAUCGCCGAAGGAGCGGCCCGCGUUGGAUUAGCUAGUUGGUGGGGUAAAAGCCUACCAAGGCGACGAUCCAUAGCUGGUUUGAGAGAACGACCAGCCACACUGGGACUGAGACACGGCCCAGGACUCCGUACGGGA